UAUUUUUUUUGUCUCAUAUGAUAGUUAAAUUUCGAUUGAUUUAAGCUCUUUUAGUGAUUGUUCGAUUUCAAAGUAAAAAACCCCUAAUUUUUCAAACCCUAAUUUUUCAAAUCGAUUUUCUUGUUCCAUUUCUUCUUGUUUAACCUCUUCAAUAGGUUAGUUAGCUUAGUUAUCUUAGUUUAUUGCUAAAACCCCUAAUUUGUACAGCGAAAAGAAAUGCAUAUAUGAAUGAUCACAGCAAUUCUCCUAGAAGUUGUACAACAUGUAAAAGAAAUCAUUCAGCGAGCCUACUAAAAACAACUAAUAAAUCAAUCAACAGAUAAUCUUCAAGAGCAAUAUAUUACAUCACCAAAUUUGAUCACAAACUUAAAAGAUAUUAAUAAUAGCGAUGAGUUGCUACUAGAUAGGAAUUCAACAAAACAAAUGACUUUUCAUGGUUCCUUAAGUGUGUAAUGUUCACUAACACAUGGACGUGCACAAGAUUUUGCACAGGAAAAGGGAGUGACAAACUAGAAUCUAGCACAGUCUGGACACCUCAGGAACCCAUUUUUUACAACAACUCAAACCAUCAUGCUAAAUCCAAUGAUCAAUCUGUACUUCUACCACACUGACCUCUAACUGGAAUAAACAAAAAUGACUUGCCCGUUUUAAGGAACUCAAACAACACGCGUAAAUUGAUUAGAGAAACCUGAAUCAUGAAUCGAAAUAUUUUAACACCAUAAACACAACUUCAAAUUUAUGAGAUUUUCAGCUCCUAUCACUCUUAUCAGAACCAAUACAAAACUAUUGACUUGCCACAGUUACUCAGACCAGAUGUCAAGAACUCAAAAUCUCAAACCAUACUAACUUUAAUCCUAAGAAUUUUGUUAGCUUCCAAGAAUCCAAAUUCCCUAAUGCUGAUCACAUCAGAGGAGCUAAGAAAAACAAUUACAGGAACUAAAGCGCUUGCACAAAAUUUUCCAAGAAUCAUAUGGAAGCUUAGUACCAAUAGCUACACACUAGACCAAAAUAAACAAAAAUCACGAUAAAUAAGCAAUAGAAAUUCCCAACAAACCGAUCUGAGAGGAGAUGUUCCUCUACAGUGAAAUAAGAUUUAGCGUAAAUCGAUCCAACACACACAAAAUAACGAGGAGGAAUCAAAUAUACGAUCAACUGUGAGUAACAUGUGACCAACACAAAUAGAAAGAAGUUAGCUCCAACUGCGGACUGCCCAUAACUUUGUUUACAUAUAAGAGUUAUAUGUUUCAUUUGACUUACCAAAUUCAAAAUAAAAAAUAGAGAAAUAUUUUAAAAUAUCAUCCUUUUAAGUUUUAGUUCUAAAAAUACCAUUACUAGUUUGUUUUCCGAGUAGUACCACAAAUUUUUGUGUAAAAUACUUGUUUACCCAAAAUAAAUUAAAUAUUUCAAUUUUUGGAAAUUUUCUAUUUGUGGUGUUAUUGAAAAGAAAAUUAAUGAUUGCAUUUUUGGAAAAUUAACUUUAAAAUAUGGUAUUUUCGAGAAAUUACCUCAAAAAUAAAUUUAUUUGAUUUCAAAAUAUAAUAAUUUAAAAUAAAUCAUUUUAUAUUAUACUAUUACAAAUUAUUAUGACAUAUAGAUAGAAUACCAGAGAUCACGAUUCCACGGAAAAAAAAAAACUCUCAGAACAAUUUCAAAUAACUUAACGAUUUUAAACUUUAUCCAACAUAUGAAUUAGUAAUUAACUAUUUGAGUUUAAAAUCGUUAAGUUAUUUGAAAAUGUUCUAAGUUCUUUAACCAAACAAAAAAAAAAAAAGGGUUCUAACUUCCAAGUCCUCUCAUAUUGUGGGCCUGUGCUGCUUUCAAAAGCCCAUUAAGAAAUUUAAGUCCAUCUUCGUCACAUCCUGAUUCUUCCUUCUCUUUGACCGCUGGAUUUUGUCUCUCAGUCUACUUUAUCCGAUCGGUGCCGGCGAGAUUCAAGAUUCGAUUCGGAGUUAAAAACCCGAAAUUUAUGUCUCUCUUUGAAAUGUGUUUAUAAGUAAAGAAAGAAGAAGAUGAGUGGUGAAGUUGUUAUAGCUGCUAGAGUUUAUCGUGAGCUUCUUAAAGCAGUGGUGAAACAUGUUGGUAAAGAAGAUUACAAGUCUCAUUUCAUUGACUUUGUGAAGCAAGAAUUCCGGAAGAAUGCAAACUCGGAGACUAUCAACCUUGCCCGCAAUUACACUUAUCUUCUCAAUAGCAUUCACUCUCA